rnacentral:rRNA from 1 species
CCUACGGGGGGCAGCAGUGGGGAAUAUUGCACAAUGGGGGGAACCCUGAUGCAGCGACGCCGCGUGAGGGAAGAAGUAUUUCGGUAUGUAAAGCUCUAUCAGCAGGGAAGAAAAUGACGGUACCUGACUAAGAAGCCCCGGCUAACUACGUGCCAGCAGCCGCGGUAAUACGUAGGGGGCAAGCGUUAUCCGGAUUUACUGGGUUUAAAGGGUGCGCAGGCGGUCUGUAAAGUCAGCGGUCAAAUCCCGGGGCUCAACCUCGGACCGCCGUUGAAACUGGCAGUCUUGAGUUGGGGAGAGGUAUGCGGAAUGCGCGGUGUAGCGGUGAAAUGCAUAGAGAUCGCGAAGAACUCCGAUUGCGAAGGCAGCAUGCCGGCUCCAAACUGACGCUGAGGCACGAAAGCGUGGGGAGCGAACAGGAUUAGAUACCCCUGUAGUC